rnacentral:rRNA from 1 species
CACCAGUGGNGAAGGCGACUUUCUGGACGAAAACUGACGCUGAGGCGCGAAAGCCAGGGGAGCGAACGGGAUUAGAUACCCCGGUAGUCCUGNCCGUAAACGAUGGGUACUAGGUGUAGGAGGUAUCGACCCCUUCUGUGCCGGAGUUAACGCAAUAAGUACCCCGCCUGGGGAGUACGACCGCAAGGUUGAAACUCAAAGGAAUUGACGGGGGCCCGCACAAGCGGUGGAGUAUGUGGUUUAAUUCGACGCAACGCGAAGAACCUUACCAGGUCUUGACAUUGAUGGACAGAACCAGAGAUGGUUCCUCUUCUUCGGAAGCCAGAAAACAGGUGGUGCACGGUUGUCGUCAGCUCGUGUCGUGAGAUGUUGGGUUAAGUCCCGCAACGAGCGCAACCCCUAUCUUAUGUUGCCAGCACUUUGGGUGGGGACUCAUGAGAGACUGCCGCAGACAAUGCGGAGGAAGGCGGGGAUGACGUCAAAUCAUCAUGCCCCUUAUGACCUGGGCUACACACGUACUACAAUGGGAGUUAAUAGACGGAAGCGAGAUCGCGAGAUGGAGCAAACCCGAGAAACACUCUCUCCGUUCGGAUCGUAGGCUGCAACUCGCCUACGUGAAGUCGGAAUCGCUAGUAAUCGCAGGUCAGCAUACUGCGGUGAAUACGUUCCCGGGCCUUGUACACANCGCCCGUCACACCACGAAAGUCGGAAGUGCCCAA